rnacentral:rRNA from 1 species
CCUACGGGAGGCAGCAGUGAGGAAUAUUGGUCAAUGGCCGUAAGGCUGAACCAGCCAAGUCGCGUGAAGGAAGAAGGAUCUAUGGUUUGUAAACUUCUUUUAUAGGGGAAUAAAGGUAUCCACGGGGGGAUAUUUGAAUGUACCCUAUGAAUAAGCAUCGGCUAACUCCGUGCUAGCAGCCGCGGUAAUACGGAGGAUGCGAGCGUUAUCCGGAUUUAUUGGGUUUAAAGGGUGGGUAGGUUGUUUUUUAAGUCAGAGGUGAAAGUUUGUGGCUCAACCAUAAAAUUGCCGUUGAAACUGGAAGACGUGAGUGUGUUUGAGGUAGGCGGAAUGCGUGGUGUAGCGGUGAAAUGCAUAGAUAUCACGCAGAACUCCGAUUGCGAAGGCAGCUUACUAAGCCAUAACUGACACUGAAGCACGAAAGCGUGGGGAUCAAACAGGAUUAGAUACCCUGGUAGUC